AGCUCUGAAGGACCUUCCCUUUAUAAAGCUCUGGCAGCCAUUCCGCUCCCUCUUUCCAGCCUAACAGUUUGCCGAGACUCUUUUCCUUUGAUAGUGUUCACAUGGAUCUCCUCGUGGAUGACAGCUUGUGUGUUAAAGCAACGUGUGCAGAAAUAGAUAAGAGAAAGUUACUCCUGGAUACAAUACACCCAAUCACUGCUGGACCUUGAGUUGAUGGUAUGUAGUCUUUCAACUGGAUUGUCUCUGAAGAGUAAUGCUGGAACUCUGCUGGGUACAAGGUUUGCAACUCCUGAGUUGAUGGUUUCUCAAAUGGUCUGAUAGAAUGCUGUCUAUGGAAGCUCUUGUUGCAGUAAGGAUGCUGCUCCAUUCAAGUGCAAUUGUAGAGAUACAAACCUGAUGGCUUCCAGUGGGCAGUUUAUGGAAAAGGUUCUGAAAGGAAUUCGGAGUAUCUACGCUGCAAUCAUCUUAAAGCUGUUGAAGUUUUCAAAUGUGCUGAAUAAUAAAAAUGGUUGAACUCUU